GGACGGCAGUACAUGUAAAAGAGAAGAACACGUGUCAGCAUCCAGCACUGGAUUACAAUAAUGAAGCCCACCAGGCCCACCUGUUAGCGUGCGGGAAGCAUAAUAUAAUUUUUUUUGUUUAUUCCCACUCAUGUCAUGUAAGCUAUUCACACCAUUUCACUUCAUGCCUCUCUCUCUCUGAUGAGAGUUUUUUUUUUUUCUUCUUAAUUCUGAUGCAAAAGUCACUUUUCACCUCAUGAUUCCUUAUCUGUGUCUUUCUAACCAGAAGUUUUUUUACUUGUAGGCAAAAAAAAAAAAAAAAAAGCGAGAAGAUUUUUUUUCUUUACUACCCAAAUUUCUAAUUUCUUAAAACACGCCGCG
rnacentral:lncRNA from 1 species